rnacentral:rRNA from 1 species
AGAGUUUGAUCCUGGCUCAGGAUGAACGCUGGCGGCGUGCUUAACACAUGCAAGUCGAACGAACCUUCGGGUUAGUGGCGGACGGGUGAGUAACGCGUGAGAAUCUGCCCUCAGGAGGGGGAUAACGGCUGGAAACGGCCGCUAAUACCCCAUAUGCCGAGAGGUGAAAUGAAUUUCGCCUGAGGAUGAGCUCGCGUCUGAUUAGCUAGUUGGUGGGGUAAGAGCCCACCAAGGCUUCGAUCAGUAGCUGGUCUGAGAGGAUGAUCAGCCACACUGGGACUGAGACACGGCCCAGACUCCUACGGGAGGCAGCAGUGGGGAAUUUUCCGCAAUGGGCGAAAGCCUGACGGAGCAACGCCGCGUGAGGGAUGAAGGCCUCUGGGCUGUAAACCUCUUUUAUCAAGGAAGAAGAUCUGAUGGUACUUGAUGAAUAAGCCACGGCUAAUUCCGUGCCAGCAGCCGCGGUAAUACGGGAGUGGCAAGCGUUAUCCGGAAUUAUUGGGCGUAAAGCGUCCGCAGGCGGCCUCGUAAGUCUGUCGUUAAAGCGUGGAGCUUAACUCCAUUUCGGCGAUGGAAACUGUGAGGCUUGAGUGUGGUAGGGGCAGAGGGAAUUCCCGGUGUAGCGGUGAAAUGCGUAGAUAUCGGGAAGAACACCAGUGGCGAAGGCGCUCUGCUGGGCCAUAACUGACGCUCAUGGACGAAAGCCAGGGGAGCGAAAGGGAUUAGAUACCCCUGUAGUCCUGGCCGUAAACGAUGAACACUAGGUGUCGGGGGAAUCGACCCCCUCGGUGUCGUAGCCAACGCGUUAAGUGUUCCGCCUGGGGAGUACGCACGCAAGUGUGAAACUCAAAGGAAUUGACGG